AGUCACAAUAAGUUAAAUAUAACAAAACAACAUUAAUGUAUUGUAUUAUUUUUCGAUAUUCUCAGUUUUCAUUACUAUUCCGCAUGUAUUAAGGAGUACUGAUUUUUAUUACUAUCAUGAUUAUGUGUUUUUAAAGCAUGAUUUAAAGACAUCCACAAAUACACCAUUCGUAUGCGUGUUAACCAAAGAACCUCAUAAAUUUCAUUUUUAAUUAAUUUACUUAAAAACAUUUCAAUAAUUCUUAGUUCUUUAAGUAGUUAAAAUAUACUGUUAGUGUCGUAGUUUUAUUGGAAUUAUUAUUUUUUAAAGGCGGAUCAGUUUCUAUUUACGAAUUAAACUAAGUUGGUAUAAUUGAACGCACUUAUAAAACUUGUUAUUUAUGUAUCAUGGGUAUAGAAGGAAUUUUUAUCUAUGAUCGUCCCGCCCAUGAUUCAUCUUGUAUCCUUAUAUGCAUCAUGUUCAAUCAACGUUCAAUCAAUCAAUCGUGCCUUCGGUUGUCAAGAAGGCGGUAUGUCACCAUUUUUGCUGUCCAUAAACGGCGACGACACCAUAAGUUCAGACUUGCUUUUAGAUGACAUCCUUGGAUUCGAUGGGCAAACUGCUUACACAUGUAAUGUGUUUGUGACAAACAAACAAAAAACCAAAAUACUUAUAAUGAGCUAGUCAAGUAGGAUAGACGGUACUAACAAUGGUUUCUAUUAAAACACAAUAAAUGUAGGUAUAUCAAGAGGGCCAAUCAAAAGGGCUUGAAAUGUGGAGAAGCAGAUCCUCAACCGCUCUUUUUUCUCUUGGACUUGGAAAGGGCGUCAUUUGUGGAAAGGAUUAAAUGAACAAGAAGACAAAAAAUAAGGAUUCGAAACUUGGAGAAGUGGAGCCCCGUUGAUGCUCCCUCCCUCCCCUAAGACUUAAAGGUGUAAUUUUUGGAAAACAUUUGCACUAAAAUUCACAUCGUUGUGUAUAAGGUUGCAUAUGCGGUGUUCUGUCGUUCUUUCUGCUAUAUGACUCAUUUCACCAUCAUCAGUUGUAUUAUUAUUCGUUUCAUGGGCAUCUGUUGUCAACGCUUGAGAAUAAAAUUCAAACACCGUACAGUAAUCCUCGAGAUCGUUCAACAAAUGAGAGGGAAUUAAAGUUCAAGUUGAUCAUACUGGAACAACCAAUGUCUACAAUGGUGUUGUCUUUUUUGGACUAUAUCCUUAAUUUGCUGUUUCGUCUUCACCUUGCAGCAUUAUGCAGCAUUUUCAAGAGGUGAUCGCGAGCAAGAGGAAAUUUGUGGUGUAUUUCUCCUGGAUUUGGUUUGCUUUUCGCAGUUGCAAAAGUUGGAAUAUUACAGUCUAUUGUUCAUUAAGGUGAGAAUGUUUGAUAUAAUUAAAAUCAAUUGCCCUUUAUUAAUCUGUUACCACCCUAUCUGUUUCAGAUCGAUGGUGGAGAAGACAAAGAAGACCCCGUAGUUAAAAUAGUUCUCAGUACUAUUGCAUGCUUUUUAGUAGAAUUAAUUUUUUAUUAUGCAUGUUUUUUG